rnacentral:rRNA from 3 species
GGGCUUGGCGGUGUUUUAGACCUCUCAGGGGAACCUGUCUCGUAAUCGACAAUCCACGAUAAACCUAACCUUUAAUGGCAGUUCAGCCUGUAUACCGUCGUCGUCAGGUAACUUCUUAAAAUAUAGUAGUUAGCUUGAGAAUUAUAUUAAUUAAAACGUCAGAUCAAGGUGCAGCCAAUGAAGAGGUGAGGAUGGGUUACAAUUACAUAUUUGUAAAUACGGAAAAACGUUUGAAAUGAAGUGUCUUAAAGGAGGACUUGAAAGUAAUUUUAUCUAUAUAAAUAGAAUGAAUAGGGCUCUGAAACGUGCACACAUCGCCCGUCGCUCUCGUUGAAAAAUGAGAUAAGUCGUAACACAGUAGGGGUAAUGGAAAUUGUUCCUAGGC